GACAGAGGCCUCAAGCGUUUAGGCGGAAUCACUGGGCUUAAAGCGUGUGUAGGCGGAUCGUUAAGUGUCUUGUGAAAUCCCACGGCUCACCCGUGGAACUGCUGGGCAUACUGGCGAUCUUGGGCCAACUAGGGGCAACUGGAACAAGCGGUGGAGCGGUGAAAUGCGUAGAUAUCGCUUGGAACGCCAAAGGGUGAAAACAGGUUGCUGGGGUUGUGC
rnacentral:rRNA from 1 species